rnacentral:rRNA from 1 species
GCCUAACCAUGCAAGUCGAACGCAGUAGCAAUACUGAGUGGCAGACGGGUGAGUAACAUGUGGGAAUCUGCCUUGUGGUUCAGGACAACAUUGGGAAACCGAUGCUAAUACUGGAUAAGCCCUUACGGGGAAAGUUUUAAUGCCAUAAGAUGAGCCCGCAUUUGAUUAGUUAGUUGGUGAGGUAAUGGCUCACCAAGACAAUGAUCAAUAGCUGAUCUGAGAGGAUGAUCAGCCACACUGGGACUGAGACACGGCCCAGACUCCUACGGGAGGCAGCAGUGGGGAAUCUUGCACAAUGGAGGAAACUCUGAUGCAGCGAUGCCGCGUGAGUGAAGAAGGCCUUUGGGUUGUAAAGCUCUUUUGUAGGGGAAGAUAAUGACUGUACCCUAAGAAUAAGGUCCGGCUAACUUCGUGCCAGCAGCCGCGGUAAUACGAAGGGACCUAGCGUAGUUCGGAAUUACUGGGCGUAAAGCGCGCGUAGGCCGUUGAGUUAGUUAAUUGUGAAAUCCCAAAGCUUAACUUUGGAACUGCAAUUAAAACUGCUCGACUAGAGUUUGAUAGAGGAAAGCGGAAUACAUAGUGUAGAGGUGAAAUUCGUAGAUAUUAUGUAGAACACCAGUUGCGAAGGCGGCUUUCUGGAUCAACACUGACGCUGAGGCGCGAAAGUAUGGGUAGCAAAGAGGAUUAGAUACCCUCGUAGUCCAUACCAUAAACGAUGAUUGCUAGAUGUUGGAAAUUUAUUUUCAGUAUCGCAGCUAACGCAUUAAGCAAUCCGCCUGGGGAGUACGACCGCAAGGUUAAAACUCAAAUGAAUUGACGGGGACCCGCACAAGCGGUGGAGCAUGUGGUUUAAUUCGAAGAUACGCGCAGAACCUUACCAACCCUUGACAUGUCUGUCGCGAGUUAGGAACUAGACUUU